GAUGAAGAACGUAGCGAAAUGCGAUACGUAAUGUGAAUUGCAGAAUUCAGUGAAUCAUCGAGUCUUUGAACGCACAUUGCGCCCCCUGGUAUUCCGGAGGGCAUGUCUGUCCGAGCGUCAUUAGUCCAAUCUCAAGCCCGGCUUGUCGUUGGGUCGCACCGCCCGGGGCGGUGGACCCGAAAUAUAAUGACGGGGUCUAGCGGACCGUGGGCGCAGCGAGCUUUUACAGCACGCGUCCCGGCGUCAUCUAGACGCGUCUCCAACCAUACUCUCUGUAGGUUGACCUCGGAUCAGACAGGAUUACCCGCUGAACUUAAGCAUAUCAAUAAGCGGAGGA
rnacentral:misc_RNA from 1 species